CCCAGGCUAGCACUGGCUGCCCCAGGGCACAGGCACUGAGUGGCGCUCAGCGGGGACCGGGAUCGUGACCCUGGCUGGCGUGGCUUCUCUACAGAGAAACAAAGGGGCCGCGACGACUGGAGAUGCGGCCGCGGUCAGGGGAGCCGAGCGGCCUGAACCCCGGGCCCGGGCCGGCAGGCAAGAUGGCAGCAUGUCCUGGGCCUCCUUGUGAUAUCAAGAAGCUGGACAGCUGAGAAAGAAGAAAAUGGACUCCCUCCUUCUGAAGACUUGCUUGAAAGCCAGCCACGAGGCUCUCCCUGAAUGUCACCUGAUGGGUUGGUGAUGACUAUGACAUCUGCAGGAGCCUUGGUGGUCCUUGUCCUCACUCACAACAUGUGUCAGCUUUGCUCCACACUGUCUUUGGGGUUCAUCGUGUGGAAUUUCAGACACUCAGCUGGAAUGUUAGAUCCUAAUUUUACCAAACACCAUCCAUGCUCGAGUGAAUUUCUUAUGGAUGGAAGAAGGGUGGUAUUUUAUAAAUCAAGUUUGCCUUGCUUUUUACCUAAAAUUACUAGUUUUAAAAAUACUUAAACUUGAGUCUGGGUAUACUAGCUCAUACCUUUAGUUCCAGCACUGCAGGUGGAUCUCUGUGAGUUUGAGGCCAGCCUGGUCUACAUAGUGAGUUUCAGGUCAGCCAAGGCUUUAUAGUGAGAGCCUGUGUCCAAAACAAUUUUUAAUUGGUGAAUUUUGUUUAAAAUCUAGUUCCUUUCUCUCCUCCCUGCCCCCUGUUGUUUUGUUUUUUUGAGACAUGGUUUCUCUGUGUAGCCCUGGCUGUCCUAGAACCCACUCUGUAGACCAGGCUGACCUCAAACUCUCAGAGAUCCACCUGCCUCUGCCUCCCGAGUGCUGGGAUUAAAGGUGUGCACUAGCACCCCAUUUAGUUCCUCUCUUUUAUCUCUCUUAAAUGGUUUUCAUUUGUUUGAUUGGUGUUUUAUUUUGUUUAUCCUUGGCAAUGGAUUUAUUCAAGCAUAGUAAAUAGCCUGUUGAAAGAACUGAUACUAAGGGAGAUGGAUAGUAAGAUGAUUCAGCAGGUAAAAGGUGCUUGCCGCCAAGCCUAAUGACCUGAGUUCGAUUCCCAGAACCCACAUGGCAGAAAGAGAGACCCAGUUCCCAUAAGUUGUCCUCUGACUUCCACCUGUGCAUCACAGUGAUUGCAAAUUCCCACAGACAGGUACACAAAAUAAAGUAUAAUCUUUUAAAUAGCUAAUAUUAGAGCUGGAA
rnacentral:lncRNA from 1 species